GGCUCUGUGGCGCAAUGGAUAGCGCAUUGGACUUCUAGGCUGUCAGCUGUGCCAUUCAAAGGUUGUGGGUUCGAGUCCCACCAAAGUCA
rfam:Danio rerio unplaced genomic contig CTG2688, GRCz11 reference primary assembly.